UACGUAGGGGGCAAGCGUUGUCCGGAAUUAUUGGGCGUAAAGAGCGUGUAGGCGGCCCGACAAGUCCGCUGUGAAAGUCCAGGGCUCAACCCUGGAAUGCCGGUGGAUACUGUCGGGCUAGAGUCCGGAAGGGGCGAGUGGAAUUCCUGGUGUAGCGGUGAAAUGCGCAGAUAUCAGGAGGAACACCAAUGGCGAAGGCAGCUCGCUGGGACGUGACUGACGCUGAGACGCGAAAGCGUGGGGAGCAAACAGG
rnacentral:rRNA from 1 species